ACGGGAGGCAGCAGUGGGGAAUAUUGGGCAAUGGGCGAAAGCCUGACCCAGCAACGCCGCGUGAGGGAAGAAGGCUUUCGGGUUGUAAACCUCUGUCCUUGGUGACGAACACAAUGACGGUAGCCAAGGAGGAAGCCCCGGCUAACUACGUGCCAGCAGCCGCGGUAAUACGUAGGGGGCGAGCGUUGUCCGGAAUUACUGGGCGUAAAGGGUGCGUAGGUGGUCGACUAAGUUGGAUGUGAAAUCCCCGGGCUUAACUUGGGGUCUGCAUCCAAAACUGGCCGACUAGAGUGCAGGAGAGGAAAGCGGAAUUCCUAGUGUAGCGGUGAAAUGCGUAGAUAUUAGGAGGAACACCAGUGGCGAAGGCGGCUUUCUGGACUGUAACUGACACUGAGGCACGAAAGCGUGGGGAGCAAACAGGAUUAGAUACCCUGGUA
rnacentral:rRNA from 2 species